rnacentral:rRNA from 1 species
UACCCUUGGUCAGGUUGAAGUUCAGGUAACACUGAAUGGAGGACCGAACCGACUUACGUUGAAAAGUGAGCGGAUGAACUGAGGGUAGCGGAGAAAUUCCAAUCGAACCUGGAGAUAGCUGGUUCUCUCCGAAAUAGCUUUAGGGCUAGCCUCAAGUGAUGAUUAUUGGAGGUAGAGCACUGUUUGGACGAGGGGCCCCUCUCGGGUUACCGAAUUCAGACAAACUCCGAAUGCCAAUUAAUUUAACUUGGGAGUCAGAACAUGGGUGAUAAGGUCCGUGUUCGAAAGGGAAACAGCCCAGACCACCAGCUAAGGUCCCAAAAUAUAUGUUAAGUGGAAAAGGAUGUGGCGUUGCCCAGACAACUAGGAUGUUGGCUUAGAAGCAGCCAUCAUUUAAAGAGUGCGUAAUAGCUCACUAGUCGAGUGACACUGCGCCGAAAAUGUACCGGGGCUAAACAUAUUACCGAAGCUGUGGAUUGUCCUUUGGACAAUGGUAGGAGAGCGUUCUAAGGGCGUUGAAGCAUGAUCGUAAGGACAUGUGGAGCGCUUAGAAGUGAGAAUGCCGGUGUGAGUAGCGAAAGACGGGUGAGAAUCCCGUCCACCGAUUGACUAAGGUUUCCAGAGGAAGGCUCGUCCGCUCUGGGUUAGUCGGGUCCUAAGCUGAGGCCGACAGGCGUAGGCGAUGGAUAACAGGUUGAUAUUCCUGUACCACCUAUAAUCGUUUUAAUCGAUGGGGGGACGCAGUAGGAUAGGCGAAGCGUGCGAUUGGAUUGCACGUCUAA